GACGAACGCUGGCGGCGUGCCUAAUACAUGCAAGUAGAACGCUGAAGGAGGAGCUUGCUCUUCUGGAUGAGUUGCGAACGGGUGAGUAACGCGUAGGUAACCUGCCUGGUAGCGGGGGAUAACUAUUGGAAACGAUAGCUAAUACCGCAUAACAUUGACUAUUGCAUGAUAGUCAAUUGAAAGGUGCAAAUGCACCACUACCAGAUGGACCUGCGUUGUAUUAGCUAGUUGGUGGGGUAACGGCUCACCAAGGCGACGAUACAUAGCCGACCUGAGAGGGUGAUCGGCCACACUGGGACUGAGACACGGCCCAGACUCCUACGGGAGGCAGCAGUAGGGAAUCUUCGGCAAUGGACGGAAGUCUGACCGAGCAACGCCGCGUGAGUGAAGAAGGUUUUCGGAUCGUAAAGCUCUGUUGUAAGAGAAGAACGAGUGUGAGAGGGAAAGUUCACAC
rnacentral:rRNA from 1 species